CUUGCUAGUUGCUGACGAGUGGCGGACGGGUGAGUAAUACUUAGGGAUCUGCCUCUGUGUGGGGGAUAACUAUUGGAAACGAUAGCUAAUACCGCAUAACGUCUACGGACCAAAGAGGGCUUCGGCUCUCGCGCAGAGAGGAACCUAAGCGAGAUUAGCUUGUUGGUGAGGUAAAGGCUCACCAAGGCGACGAUCUCUAGCUGUUCUGAGAGGAAGAUCAGCCACACUGGAACUGAGACACGGUCCAGACUCCUACGGGAGGCAGCAGUGGGGAAUAUUGCACAAUGGGGGCAACCCUGAUGCAGCCAUGCCGCGUGUGUGAAGAAGGCCUUCGGGUUGUAAAGCACUUUCAGUUGUGAGGAAAGGUUAGUAGUUAAUACCUGCUAGCUGUGACGUUAACAACAGAAGAAGCACCGGCUAACUCCGUGCCAGCAGCCGCGGUAAUACGGAGGGUGCGAGCGUUAAUCGGAAUUACUGGGCGUAAAGCGCACGCAGGCGGUCUGUUAAGCUAGAUGUGAAA
rnacentral:rRNA from 1 species